UUGGCGACAGUAUUUAUCGUUUCCCAUUUUACAUACUUUAAUCAGUGCUUUGUAAGUAAUUUUUUUAAAGUAAGUUUUUACUGGUAUUUUUACUGGUAUAAGAUUAAUUCAAAUUGGAUUAGUGUGGGGGAGGAGAAGGUAUUAUAAUUGCAAUGUGAUCAGGUACAAGGCCCAAUACUUUAGAUAUCGAUCAGCCCAUUUAACUUUUGGGUGAUUAGAGUUUGCAAAAAAUGAAAAAAAAUAAAUUGCAAAACCGAUGAUUUAUAACGCUCAGGCGUCGAAAUUCACAAAUGUUCAAGCUACUCGCGAUUCCAAUUCGUCGUCUUCCUUACGUAAUUAUUACGUAAUUGAUUUCAACAAUAAUGGAAAUUAAAUGCGUCGAUAAGAACUGAAGAUGAAUUGGGCAAUCCCUUCAACUCGUCCCAUUUCUCGUUUUGAUGGAUUUUGGGAGACGUGGAACCCCUUCAAGAAAAUCAGUGCGUCCGGAACCAAAAACCAGUUUCUAGUCUGAAAACAUUUGGACAGCGUGGGAACCGUAUUUUAAGGCUAUCAUUAUUUUUUACACGUGUUUAGUUAAUGUCGUUAAUUAACGUCAGAAACAUAAUUAGGCGUACUAAAAAUCAGUCAUAAUUUUUAGUACAGUUUUAACGUUAAGUUCUUAAUUAUAAUCUGCCCGAAAAUUUCUGUGAUCAAAUAAUAAAACUUUAUACAUACGUCUUCAGUCACGUAUUUUUGCAGCUGGUAUCAUAUUUAGUCUGCAAAAAUUAGUGGCAAUUAAUUGGUAGUUAGGAUACAAAAUAAUUUGUAGGCUCAAUUUAAAAACAAAUGCUAUUUAGCGAUAUUGCGUUGGCAAGGAUGUAGUGCUUAUUCAUGAAGAAAAAUAGAAAGUCAUGACCAUGAAAUUAAUUUCUGAAAUUUCUGAGCACUUCCUUCCGAAAAUACGUAGGAAAUUUGUAACUGAUUAGAGUAACAUGUAGAAUUAAAUGCGUUUCUUAAUGUGUAUGCAAACUUUACUGAAAUUCGAUUUGGCACCGCAUUUGAAAGUUCGGGGAAAAGCAAGUUUAAAAUUUGCUCUAAUAUGUAAAUAAGCUUGGCAAUGCUUUACGUCACCCGAGAGGCAAAAAUUAGAAGAGGAGAUAGAUACAAACAUGUGCAUUUCGUAUUUUUCAUUUUGAAGAUCUUGUUCAUUAUAAGGCUCGUGUUUGUAAUAGGUGACCUGCAAUGGAUCGGCAGUAAGAGUAUCUCUGCAGGCGCAAAGCUUUUGACUAGAGCAUUUAGCCAAUUGUAGCGACUAAGUGUUUCAACUAUAUGAAUAAAGGGAAUUUCAGAAUUAUGUCAGGAAUUGCUUCAAACAAUCAAAGUUUUGACGCUUAGAAAAAAUAGUAGGCUAAGCUAUGCAAAGAACCCUGAUUUCACUGGAUUUGUUUAAUUACAUUGCUUUAUGGAUUUAAUUAUGUUGACUUAUUUACUUAUGGGAGAAACAAGUUGAUUGAGCGAAGGCCUGGGUUUUGGCUUCCCUUAUCGCUUGGGCUACUACUGUUGCUGUUAAUGGCUGAACUGUCAGCAGUGUAUUCGGAUGAUGCAACUAACUGCUUGGCUCGUGUUGUUAAAAAUGUGUAGAAUGCAAUUAAAUUAUAAAUGAACAUAUAUCUAACAUAUUGUUAAACGAAGUAAUUUAUAGCGGAUGGGACUGUUUUUGGAUGCUACGUACAAGUACUAGAAUAUUUUGAAGCAAAUCGAGAAUUUAAUUCUUAGCUUUCAAAUCUUUAUAAAUUCAGUCUUCUUAUCGCGAUUUUCGAUGCAUUGUGUCAGCUUCGCUUCCAGUGCGAUUAUUUCCUACAAGUUGCAAUUUCGACUUGACAAGUGAAGAAGAUUGGUAAUGGAAUUAAUUAUCGGCCUUGCGCCAUGCAAAAUAAUAUUUAUUUAGUACUUAAUCCAUCUUAAAGUUUUUAACAUUCAAUUCGUCACUGUGAAUUUUAUGCAAAAUGUAAAUGCAUGAAAUCUUCUGAAAUUGAGACACAGACAGACCCGGUAUAGUGUGAGCAUUCGUAAUGAACCUAUUCCUCCCAUGAGCUGGACAACGUGGCGUAAUUAGGCAGGGUUUCAGUUACCUCCGACUGUAUGAAAGCCAUUGUUUUUCAAUAUUGAAAACUUGUAGAAGUAUUUAUGCAGUAUUUUGGUAGCUGGACAAUUUUUGUAUGUACAGUUAAAGAAUAAAAUGUUUGUGCCCAGUAGUACGGGGAUUUGAACAGGAGAGGUAAGCUGGGGCUGUUUGCUGCGUGCCCAAUGGUAGAACUUUGAAUUGCAUUCAGUUUGGUCCCUGUGGUAAUUCCCUUCUGGUAGGAGAAAGAUCCUUGAACGGAAUCCGAUGUCGUAUUACAAUUAGAGUCAAUUUUAGUCGUUUCUUCUUGAAAUUGUUGAGUAACAGGGGUACUCCCACUCCCUAUAUCGUAAUAAAAAACUUCGGCGUUCUUUUUGGACACGGUGCAGUUGUCAACAGAAGCCCUAAAAAUAUGGUUGGGCAAAGUUUUUCGGUAUAAUUGCUUAUUGUAAUUAAUUGCUUUAGUAAGUUUGGCUACAUUUAUGUUCGAAUCUGACUACUUACAGAAGUAUCGCGACUACAUAUUUUUAUCUCAUCCUUUUCUUACAAUAUCUCGUCCUUAACGACUCACAACCUAUUGCUGAUCAUUCUUUAAAUUAUGCAUAUGUAUCAUAAUGGAAGUAACUAUAUCCAAUUAAUGGAGAAAGGAAGGUUUGAUUGUUUGGUUAAUAAUCAUACGUACGUGGUUGAGUCGUCACAAAAUUCAUUUGGGGAAUCAAUCGAAUUUUUGUUGCGUUUAUUUAUUUUUUUUGCAUUUUCUGGCAAAAUGAGUAUUUAUGCUUUUCCAAUUCUGAGGUUGAGACCACCAUUCCUGUACCAGAAUGUUUUUCACACUUGUUGAAUUAUUUCGAGUGAAAUAUACAAAUGCAGUAUUUAUGUAUUUUUGUGUCUUGAAUCCGGACUGAUUUUUGUAACGCGAGGAACUAAAUUGGAAUGUAUUCCAUGCAUAAAAUUUCCUCAAGUGGGAGAUGGCAGAGUUUUUUCGUUUCAUGUCUCUCAUUAUUCCUGCCCAUUUUAUGUGGAAAGUUAACUUUCCAUGGAUUUCGGUUAUGCAUGAAGAGGAGAUAUGUAAGAUACUCGUUGUUUGAAUUUGGAAAAGUACCGAUAGUAGGAGCAGUAGAUGUGUUUGGUUUGGAGAAAUUUAAUUUUCUUUUUGGUAGGAUUCCUUCCUCGAGAGUUACAUGAUUCUGUGUCCAAAAACAUAUGUAUUGGAUAAGAAUGUUGUUACGCUGCAUGAAAGAUAGAUUUAAAACACUAUACAUAUAUACUACGAUUCACACGCUAUAAAAGUUGAAAAUUUAACAAUUUUUAGCUUGGACAUAAUUUUCCUGUUUGCUAAAUGGUAAUUUGCAAAUUAGGCAUCAAAUUAUUUUCGACUCAUAAUGAGUUUAGAAGAACACACCACAUACACUCAUAUUGAGAGUUUUUUCCCUCUUUUUAAAUAAUAAUAAUGAUCUUCCUUAAUUUAAAACCUUCAGCUAUUCAAUAUUCAUUCGUGUCUAUAAUUAAACUAACUUAUUUAUCGUUAACUAACCUAUCUUGGCUAACUGCAAUCACCUGUAGAAUUAUAAUCCGGGUCUUCUCGAUGAUGAUUUCUUCUUUGCUUACUAGUUUUGUUGGAUAAACUUUGGCUUUCAAGCCAGCUCCAUUUCUGGGUUGGGUCGGUAUUGAGAGGAGAGACAUUAUGGACCAGAAAUGCUGGUCCACGACACUCCACAACCCUCUACAUAAAUCGUCGUCCCUGACGAUUCGUUCUGAUGAACUCACUUAUUUUUAAUAUUUGAAUUUUCAUAAACUGGUUUUAAAUACUAAAUUUCGCUAUUAUUACAUUGUAUUGACAGUACAUAAUUUGGUUCACAUUUUUUUAUAUAAUUUGCAGAUGUAUGUUAGUCAUGGUAUUAAUCGUGGUUUUCACGUCAAGUUAUCAUAAUAAUUUAAGUGAUCAGUUUUUAUCCGUUUCAUUUGAAUAUUUUAACAAUUAAUAGGAAGAUGGGUUUUCUAUAAGUACAUUUUCAAGGUUCAAAUUUUUAGAUACAUAUUUCGUGUGGGGUAUUCACGUCAACUUAUCGUUACUGUAUCUAUAGAAUUUUCCCUGGAAGCUACAUAAGUAUUCGUCAGGGAUACUUUCUUGAUUUCACCACUCGGUGGUGAAAUACCGAUACGUCGGUAAAUUAGUUUAGACUGCAAUUUAUUCGACAGAGUAUGCUCGCAAAUUAGUGUCAAAAAACGAAGUGAAAAAAUUAUAACUUAUGUCCGAGCAAUAGGAGUAAAAUCCGAAAAAAACAGCCCGGAAUUGUACAUGCAUAAUUUUAUUUAGGAGGCCCAGCGGUUUAAGAUUUAUGUUCUUUAUCUAGAUUUAUGUAUGCUUGUUGAAUUUGUUGAUUCUUCUCACGAGUUCCUUUUUGUGUAUUUUGAUCUUGUUCUGCCAAUAUGCCUGACAAAAUUCGUGUAAAUUUGUCAGAUUAGGGAAAUCAUGAGGUAACGUGCAACUUGGAUUUGGAAAUUGGGGAUAUAUAUGCAAAUUCUUUAAAAUGUGUGAUAUAAUUUCAUUCGCGUAAAUGUUGCCACAAAAUGUGUAUUCAUCAGAUAUGUAUUUUAGCGAGUUUAGCGAUUUUUUGUUUUUCAUAAAAAUAUACGUAACAUACGCAAAUUCCAAUCAAUUGGAAACCGUGAAUGGUGAAAGGAUUUAUCAACAGGUGCAGCUUUUGCGUCGAAACGCAUACUCGCAAAAUUAGAUUUUUUAAUUUUUAGUUUGAAGUCUUUUUCAACUUAUUUACCUUUGUAUUGCAAAUGAGUACCUUAAGUUAAACGGAAUAUUUGAAACAGAACCGAAUUGUUACGGGUCCUUGUGCGACCUACUUUUUCUGGAUAAAAUAUGCAUGUUUACCAGUUCUGAUUAUGGAUUUUUGUUUUCUUCCAGAGGAGGCCUAUUCACUUUACUCCAUCGACUAGGAAUUGCUAUAUUGAUUUUACAUGGGAAACGCAGGCAGUCCUCCAUAAAAAGGUCGUGAAGACAAGCUAUCGUUAUCUUUGGCCGUUAAUCCACGCUUCUGGUGGUGCCGAGUGCUGAUGACCUAAUGUCAAUUCACGUUUCCCUUUUCUGGGGGGUGGUUUGGGACUUUAAGUUGUUGUGGGUAAGGAUUACAGAAAAGUGACGGAUUAUGGCCCAGAUGCCCUGUGUUGCCGUUUUACACUACGGUACACCAAUAUGUAAUCUCCAAUUAUCCGCCGAUUAUGCAUAAUGCCAAUUUAUGUACAAUCUGCAACUAUGUUUGCGGGGUUGUACUUACCUAUUUAUUUAUUCUCUAACUACUCCGUACAAGGGAACUUUACCUAAGGAUAUAUUCUUACUUAACGUAUAUCUUGAUUGUCACUGACUCAAAAAGUCGUCCUCUCUCUCGUGUUAUUUGCCAAUGUUCUCGGUUCUUGCGGAGCUAGCCAAAACUAUCUUUAGUUUCGCAAGCUACUCAUCGCCAACACCUCUGUUAGGAUAAAACUCCUUCGUGGAAUAAUUCAAAUUAUUGGAUAAAAUUCAAAUAUUGGACGACUUCGGAAAAUUUUUCAUCUCGACUACACAAUAGUCAAUUCUGCAGGUCUUUGGGACUUGGGACUCCGUUUCCUCCUUUUGGGAUCGACUUUUGGUAUAUGAAAUCCAUCUCUGGUGCCUUAUUGUGCUCGAAUCUGACACUGAAGUCCCAGAUUUUACGUCCCGACUUGUUUCGAAGAACUCACAAGUGGGCCACCCUAUCAAUGGAGGGCUGAGUCACGUUAUUUUGUACGGAAACAUUAUGGUUCUAGUUAAUUUUUAUACGUAUGUAGUAAGCUUGGAAAUUUUCCGAAUUAAUAAGAAAUUUGAGAACUAUUUUUAAGAGCGUUUAAGAAAGCAUGUAUGUAUGGUAUCGGUAUUAAAAAUAUUGUUGCGGCCUCUCGAAACUUUUUGCACUCCUAAAUUCAUAUCUCGGCGAUACGGUCGUAUUUACUUGCUAGGGUCACUCCAGUUCUUUUACAUAGUUUGAUUGGUUUUAAGAUUGAAUAAAUCUGUUAUGGUAUCACUGCAGAAACUUAAAAUACGUUUCUAAGAAACCAUUGAAGUUGAAGAAUUGAUGUGUUGCAAGGGUGCAGAAUAAGAGUUCUAAGCAAAGCAGCACAAGCCUCUAUUUGUUUAUUGGAAACCAAAAAUUGACAAACUUGUUGCUUUAGUUUCUUCCAAUAAAUACAGUAUAUGCGACAGUGUAUGCUCGCAAAUUAGUUUGAAACACCAGGCCUCCAAAACCAACCUACUGGUUGAUAAUGUGGUCAUCAUAUCAUUACUUCAGGUUAAGAACAUUGAUACCCAAAAUGAUCGUCAUAAUUUUUCCACGUAUUUGUUUUAACUAAUUUUGAGUAAUGAAAAAAGGUUCUCUGGGAAAUAGUCAUUUUUCUUCGUAUCCGAGGUUCGAUUUGUUUCCUUAAAAGGACGGUACAGUUUCAUAGCAACGCAUUCAGAAAUUGAUUCCCGAGUCAUAACUGUUUAUUUUCAUUUUGUAUUUUCAUGCAUCUUAUGAGCUGCUGUUUAUAUAUUUUCUUUUCUACCGAUUCUCCUGACAAAAUUUAUGUGAAAUAAAAUAAUAAGAUUACAAACACUACAUUAUCUAGAAGACACUAACACACACUACAGACACUACACAAGAAGUAAUACCUGUAUUUCGAAGUUAAGACAAAAUGUGAAAACUUUGAAUUUCAUUCACUUAUUGGAAUUAAUUAUAAACGAAAUUACAACAUUUUUACGUCGUUCGUCAGAAAUAAACCCUUUACAUAUGUAUUUAGCAAUUUCAAAAACUAACAGAAUUAUAUGUUGCUUAAUUUUAUGGUGCAACAAGCGGUUUUUGUUAUUUAUUGUAUAUUUGAAAACGUAUUUUACAUGUAUUUAUAAUACCCAUUUGAUAGUUCUAUCAACAUUUUUACAAAACAUGUAUUUUGCGUAGAGAAUUCACCAGGAUGAAAUGUUUUCUGUACUCUGUAUAUGUCCGGAUAACCCUGAUAAAUGAAUUAAGUGUCAUUUUACUUCCCACCUCUGUGUAUAUAUCUGCAAUGAUGGAAUUCUUAGGAUAAACUACAUCGUCUAUUUCGUUGAAAGACCUUUACCAGGUAUUCCCACAAAUCUUUCAGUUCGAUUGCCGAAAA